GUAGAACGUUCGGUUGGCGUCUGAGUCGCAUCUGUGUUGCAUCUGUGAAGUGAGAGAUGCUACCUCCAUUAUUAUAUCUGCUUUGGAACAAUUGCUACACAGAUUGCAAGAACAUCCAUAUCCUUGGAUUUUGUGCCCUUCCAGUGAAAGCCAGUGUUUGAGAAGGUUCAGUUAUGGAUCUUAUGGUUGCUCACACUCAAGAAGACAUCAACCAGGUAGCGACCAUUGAUUGCCUACUACCGUUGGCCUUCCUCUUCCUUUGGUGAGUCUGAGGCAACAACCUCAGACAUUCACACUUUGUAGAGCUUUUGUUAUUCCAAAUUCACUAGAAACAAGCACAGGAAAACCAGCUGAGAUUGCUUCAAGAGCAACCAGGCCAAAUCCCUCUGUGCAGGUUGGCAUCACAAUCAAGUCAGCUUCACUAAACAUAUUCAUUUCGUUACAAUGUUAAAAUACAAAUUCCAGAAACGGUUUUAAAGGUCAAUAUGUGCAAAUCACAUUGCGAUGGAAACCUAAAGGUGUGGAUUAACCCUUGGCAUACUACGGGGGAGUGGGGUUAAUUUGAGAGAAUACAAGCACUAUGCGUUACAAUGCUUGCUAAACAAGUACAUUACAUGGAAACCUCACAAAACCAUAUAUGUUCACAAAGAGUAUUAAAUUCUUGUUCAUAUCAAUUAAAAAUAUUCUGGGAUAUAUGA